rnacentral:rRNA from 1 species
GAUGAACGCUGGCGGCGUGCCUAAUACGUGCAAGUCGAGCGAACGGACGAGAAGCUUGCUUCUCUGAUGUUAGCGGCGGACGGGUGAGUAACACGUGGAUAACCUACCUAUAAGACUGGGAUAACUUCGGGAAACCGGAGCUAAUACCGGAUAAUAUUUUGAACCGCAUGGUUCAAAAGUGAAAGACGGUCUUGCUGUCACUUAUAGAUGGAUCCGCGCUGCAUUAGCUAGUUGGUAAGGUAACGGCUUACCAAGGCAACGAUGCAUAGCCGACCUGAGAGGGUGAUCGGCCACACUGGAACUGAGACACGGUCCAGACUCCUACGGGAGGCAGCAGUAGGGAAUCUUCCGCAAUGGGCGAAAGCCUGACGGAGCAACGCCGCGUGAGUGAUGAAGGUCUUCGGAUCGUAAAACUCUGUUAUUAGGGAAGAACAUAUGUGUAAGUAACUGUGCACAUCUUGACGGUACCUAAUCAGAAAGCCACGGCUAACUACGUGCCAGCAGCCGCGGUAAUACGUAGGUGGCAAGCGUUAUCCGGAAUUAUUGGGCGUAAAGCACGCGUAGGCGGUUUUUUAAGUCUGAUGUGAAAGCCCACGGCUCAACCGUGGAGGGUCAUUGGAAACUGGAAAACUUGAGUGCAGAAGAGGAAAGUGGAAUUCCAUGUGUAGCGGUGAAAUGCGCAGAGAUAUGGAGGAACACCAGUGGCGAAGGCGACUUUCUGGUCUAUAACUGACGCUGAUGUGCGAAAGCGUGGGGAUCAAACAGGAUUAGAUACCCUGGUAGUCCACGCCGUAAACGAUGAGUGCUAAGUGUUAGGGGGUUUCCGCCCCUUAGUGCUGCAGCUAACGCAUUAAGCACUCCGCCUGGGGAGUACGACCGCAAGGUUGAAACUCAAAGGAAUUGACGGGGACCCGCACAAGCGGUGGAGCAUGUGGUUUAAUUCGAAGCAACGCGAAGAACCUUACCAAAUCUUGACAUCCUUUGACAACUCUAGAGAUAGAGCCUUCCCCUUCGGGGGACAAAGUGACAGGUGGUGCAUGGUUGUCGUCAGCUCGUGUCGUGAGAUGUUGGGUUAAGUCCCGCAACGAGCGCAACCCUUAAGCUUAGUUGCCAUCAUUAAGUUGGGCACUCUAAGUUGACUGCCGGUGACAAACCGGAGGAAGGUGGGGAUGACGUCAAAUCAUCAUGCCCCUUAUGAUUUGGGCUACACACGUGCUACAAUGGACAAUACAAAGGGCAGCGAAACCGCGAGGUCAAGCAAAUCCCAUAAAGUUGUUCUCAGUUCGGAUUGUAGUCUGCAACUCGACUACAUGAAGCUGGAAUCGCUAGUAAUCGUAGAUCAGCAUGCUACGGUGAAUACGUUCCCGGGUCU